UCACAGGUGAUUGAUAACCCGCAUGCACAAGGAUUUACCACACUGUAAACUGUUUUACCAAGUAAGACACUAUAAAUGGUUUUCUAAAAGGUUUUCACUUGUUUCAAAACUCUUACUUAUGCUGUUUUAUGAAAGUUCAUUUUGAACUGGUUUAUGAAAAGUUUCCAAGGGAUUUCUAAAGGUUUUUCAAACUUAUUUUACAACAGAAUACCCUGUCGUGAUUUUCUCAAGAAUAAAGGUUUUCUUCCAUGUUUUGAUACUCCUCCUUAGUUAAAGUUCCUACUUGAUAACGCUUUCACUUUGUGAUGCGUUUAUACCUAUUAUUACCUAUACUUCGCUUAUACUUGUGAUAGCUUAUACCCGUUAGACGCUCUUACUUCACUUGUAGUCGCUUCCAGUUCGUGAUAUACUUAUACCAGUUAACGCUUACACUUCACGAUCCGGUUAUUCCACACUGUUCGGUUAUUCAUCAUGAUACGAUUAAUCCACACUGUACAGGUAUACUUCACGAUCCGGUUAUUCCAUACGAUUCGGUUAUACUUCACGGUAUGAUUCCACUUGUUACACACUCAAGCAUAGUUAGAUGUAUGUUUGUGCUUGUUUAGAUGCAUAUAAAUAAUGAUUGAAGGACUUAGGAAGGCUUGUCCGCCCUAUUUCCUUUUCUUCGUUGAGAUGUGGUCUGGUGGGAUCGAAUGUCCAUCCGAAGGUCGUUUGAUUCAUUAGUUAUAUAUUAUGUACACAAGCAUAGACAUAUAGGUUUACAUUAGUCAGUUCAGUUAAGAGUCUCUACCACCAGUUCAGCACUUACAUUGGAAACCCUCUACCCACUAUUUGGGGUGCAUCUUCGGGACACGGCCUUCUCCGUCGUCUUGUUGGUAACCAGAGUCUCAUGUAGGGAGAGCGGACAUUGUAUGUAUAGAUCUAUACGGGAUUGACACCCCCGCACCCUGACUGCUAGCUAUAGUCCACGGCCUACCAAGCCAAGGGGUGACAAAUGUCAUAUUCUCUAGACGCUUGUAGGGCGUCAGGUACUCUAGUGUCGGUUAGUAUGGUUACGAGUAUCGGAGGUUAGCUUAUAAUUCAUGGCCAUAAGGUAAUGGCUUUUCACCAGCAAUUUACAUUGUAUGCUGGAACUCACUCUCGGAGUCACACUGUUUUAGACCUUGCUAGACGUAUCAUUCAUUUGAUACUGUCUGGGGUCUGCAUUCACUGUAUUCACUGUACUCACUGUUUUUAGACCUUGCUAGACGUAUCAUUCAGUUGAUACUGUCUGGGGUCUAUGUUCACUGUUUUAGACCUUACUAGCUAUACCUUUCAUUUGGUACUGUCUGGGGUCUGUGUCUCUUUCUGUUAGACUGAGCCAGGCGUGUCGUUCAUUCGAUACUCUCCUGGAGUCUAUGAUUCCUUCCGCCUUAGUCAGCAGUCCUCACUGCUGAGGCAUAUGUUAUUUUCCCUGAUAUUCUCCAACUUUCUUAAAAAGCAAAUCCCGUAUUUUGAAAAUGAAAGUGUUUAAGGGAAAACUACUUUUUACCACAUAACUCUGACCAGUCUUGGUAGAAGACUGCUUUUUAAUUAGAAAAUAGAAGAUUUUCUAGAAAGGACUCUAUUUCACUGUAUACUUGAAAUCUACCACAUAUAUAAAUUUAUUUGAUUAAAAUGUCACUAAAUGCUUAUGAUGUAACAACGUAAAUUUUCAAACAAAAUUUUCAUUUCAAAAUAAAGUAUUUUCAUUCAAACAAGGCAUAAACAUUCCAAGUGUCAUGUCAAAAUACAAAUCAUAUAAAUCCCAAGAUCACAAAACAUCUAUCAGUGUGUACAGAUCACGUCGGCGCCUUCCCACGGUCCCCGCUAGUACCUGAAACACAUACAUAACAACUGUAAGCAUAAAUGCUUAGUGAGUUCCCCAAAAUACAAGUUACGCACAUACGCCUUUCCAGGCCCUGACCUUCCGGUCCCUGUGUCUCAGGGGACUUCCGUCCCUGCUGGGUAAACCUUCCGGUCCUACCCACGCCAACCUUGCGGUUCACAACACAACGCCUUCCGGCCCAUAACAUAAUCGCCUUCCGAUCCAUAACAUAUUGCCUUCCGGCCCACAUAAACAUACAUAGCACGCAUAACAAUUAACUUAUCACAUAUAGCACAUAUAUCACAUAUCAUAUCCGACCUUCCGGUCACACAGUCAAACCCUUUCGGGUAGGGUAUAGUGAGAAGACUCACCUCGUGAAUAUUGAAGGCUAGCAAAUCCCGAAGUCACUCGUGCUCGAUCCGCCGAGCUACAAUCUCCCUAUAACAUCAUACAUCUCUUAUUAACACUUUUAUCUUCUAAGUUUGACUAUCCCUAAAAAGUCAACCAUAAGUCAACCCUGGUCAACGGUCAACGGUCAACUUGACCAGACCCGGCGAGUGCUAGGGCGACUCGGCGAGUCUAGACGUCCUCACCAAUUCUCUAAGAUUCCCUUUCUACUCGUCGAGUAUCCCCCUUAACUCGACGAGUUCCUCCUAGCAGAAUCGCGGGGCCACCCCGACUCAACUCGCCGAGUCUGAAGAACAACUCGGCGAGUCCCAGUUAAUCUUCAAGCUACUCGCCGUGUCUGUUCAUCGGACUCGGCGAGUCCAUGCCAUGCAACCGCUCAAACUGCAUCCUAAGGUCAGAACUGCUUCGACCAUUCCUAGGUCUGGCCUUCCUAGGCUGAUCCAUCACGUAAAGUCCUCAUUUCAGUGCUCAUGAUACACCAUAUGAUUCAUAAUUUACAUUUUGACCUAAGGCAUAAGGAUUCCAAUCCAAAACCUUCAUCAAUUCCCGAAAUGCACAGACAUGGGACAUUCUGGACCUCCAAAGGUCCCAAUACAGGGUUACAAUCGAUUAGGGGACUAGGGUAACAUUCAAUCUAUUCACAAAAGGGUUCCAUAAACCCUAAUUCCAUAAUCACAUCAACAUAGCAGAGUAUACUCGAAUUCUUACCUGGAUGAUGUAUCCUCUGUGUCCCCAAUCCUCAGAAUGUGACUCCCUUGCUGCUCCUUUAGCCAAUCCCUUCUCUUCCUUGCACAACCACUCUUCUAUAAUCAACAAUGGCCUAUAAUCCUUGCUCCAGAUGCACACAAUCGAUUUAGGGUUCUUCUCAGAAGGCUAAAAUGAACAAUGACGGCCAAUAAGUCCCUUUUAUACGUCCCAAACCUGAACGGUUAGGGUUUUCGCUAAACAGCGUAGACUCGCCGAGUCCAUAUCUGGACUCGUCGAGUCCAGUCGCGAACCCGCGACCAAGUCUGCGAUCCUACUCGGCGAGUCUAGGCUCCAACUCGCCGAGUCCCCUCUUAAAUCACCCCAAAAACAUAAUUUAACAAUACCUGAGAUUCCGGGCUGUUACAACUCUCCCCCACUAGGAUUAGACUUCGCCCUCGAAGUCUCACUCUGAAAAUAGUUCCGGAUGCUGCUCCCGCAUCUCACGUUCCGGCUCCCAAGUCAUUUCCGAUCCCUUACGGUGUUGCCACUGAACCAACACCAGAGGUACCUCCUUGUUCCUCAGAACCUUGAUCUUCCGAUCCCUGAUGGCCACUGGUCUCUCAGCAUAAUUCAGGCUCGCAUCCACCUGAAUAUCCUCCAAUGGAACCACUGCCGACUCAUCGGCUAUGCACUUCCUCAAUUGCGACACAUGAAAAGUGUCGUGGAUCUGUCCCAACUCCGCUGGCAACUCCAACCGAUAGGCUACCCGGCCUAUCCUUGCAAUCACACGAAAUGGCCCAAUAUACCGGGGCCCCAACUUGCCCCUCUUCCUGAAUCGAAUCACUCCUUUCCAAGGAGAGACCUUCAGGAGAACGAAGUCGCCGACUUGAAACUCAAGCUCGGAUCGGCGCCUGUCUGCAUAACUCUUCUGUCGGCUCUGGGCGGUCAAUAACCUCUGUCUAACUUGCUGAAUCUGCUCUGUCGUCUGAAGCACGAUCUCUGUGCUGCCCAUCACUCUCUGUCCCACCUCUCCCCAGCAAAUGGGGGUCCGACACCUCCUACCAUACAACAGCUCAAAAGGUGGCAUACCAAUGCUCGAAUGAUGGCUGUUGUUGUAGGAAAACUCUGCUAAGGGUAAAUAUGCAUCCCAGCUACCCCCGAAGUCUAACACACACGCUCGAAGCAUGUCCUCCAGCGUCUGAAUCGUCCGCUCGCUCUGACCGUCUGUCUGGGGAUGGUAUGCGGUACUAAAAUGCAAUUUAGUACCCAGCUCCUCAUGGAAUUUCUUCCAGAACCUGGAAGUGAAGCGCACAUCACGGUCUGAAACAAUCGAGAUCGGCACCCCAUGCCGAGAUACCACUUCUCUCACAUAUAUCUCCGCCAACUUCUCCGCUGAAGAACUCUCGCUGAUGGCAAGGAAGUGUGCACUCUUCGUCAACCUAUCCACAAUCACCCAAAUUGCAUCAACUCCCCUGGCAGUCCUCGGCAAUUUGGUGAUGAAAUCCAUAGUGAUCUGUUCCCACUUCCACUCGGGGAUCUCCAAUGGCUGUAACUUGCCAUGCGGUCUCUGGUGCUCGGCCUUAACCCUACGACAGGUCAAGCACCUCUCAACGAACCAUGCGACGUCCCUCUUCAUACAGGGCCACCAAUACUCUUUCCUCAAGUCCAAAUACAUCUUCGUAGCACCGGGAUGGAUCGAGAAUUUCGAUCUAUGAGCCUCUUCCAUCAAAGUAAUACGCGUACCGCCCACGAACGGUACCCAAAUCCGACCCUGAAACGUCAUAAGCCCUCGUCCAUCCUUAACGAACUCUGAAAUUAACCCCACAACCCGCUCUUUCUUCUGCAUUUCUGGUCGCACAGCCUCGGCCUGUGCCCCACGAAUAGCAUCCAAUACUGGAGUCAUCACAGUCAGUCUCAAGCAUACAUCUCGCAAUGGAGUGCUCUCCGCCCUGCGGCUCAACGCGUCGGCUACCACAUUAGCCUUGCCUGGGUGGUACAGGAUCUCACAAUCAUAAUCCUUGACCACAUCCAACCACCUCCUCUGACGCAUAUUUAGGUUGGGCUGAUCCAUCAAAUACUUCAAGCUCUUAUGGUCCGUGUAUAUCGUACAUCGAACCCCAUACAAGUAGUGACGCCAAAUCUUGAGAGCGAACACUACUGCCCCCAACUCUAAAUCAUGCGUGGGAUAUCUCGCCUCAUGAGGCUUCAGCUGCCUCGACGCAUAAGCUAUCACAUGACCCCUCUGCAUCAACACUGCACCCAGUCCCGAAAUCGAUGCGUCGCAAUAUACUACAAAAUCUUCCAUCCCUUCCGGGAGAGCUAAUACCGGGGCUUCGCACAACCUCUGGCGAAGUGUCUCAAAGGAGGUCUGCUGCUCGGGCCCCCAUGAGAAUGCAACACCCUUCCGGGUCAAUCUGGUGAGCGGCACUGCGAUCUUGGAGAAAUCCUUAAUGAAUCUCCGAUAAUACCCUGCCAACCCAAGGAAGCUCCUGAUCUCAGAGGGUGACUUCGGCACCUCCCAACUCAUCACCGCCUCAACCUUGGCCGGAUCGACCAAUAUCCCUUUCUGAUUAACAACAUGUCCUAGAAAUUGGACCUCCCGCAACCAGAAGUCACAUUUGGAGAACUUUGCAUAAAGCUUCUCCGACCUCAAUACCUCAAGGACCUCCCUCAAAUGCUCCUCAUGCUGCUCUCUAGAUCUCGAAUACACCAGAAUGUCGUCGAUAAAUACAAUCACUGACCGAUCCAACAUCGGCCUGCAUACCCUGUUCAUGAGAUCCAUGAACACAGCCGGGGCAUUGGUGAGCCCGAAAGGCAUCACCACAAACUCAUAAUGCCCAUAUCGCGUCCUAAACGCUGUCUUCUGGACGUCCUCAUCCCGCACUCUCACCUGAUGGUACCCUGACCUCAGAUCGAUCUUGGAAAACCAAGAUGCUCCCUGCAACUGAUCGAAUAAAUCAUCGAUCCUCGGUAACGGGUAACGGUUCUUGACCGUCAACUUGUUCAACUCCCGGUAAUCAAUGCACAUCCGGUGUGAACCAUCCUUCUUCUUGACGAACAGAAUAGGUGCUCCCCACGGCGAGCUGCUCGGCCGAAUGAAUCCCUUCCCCAGCAACUCCUGAAGCUGCGAGGACAACUCUUGCAUCUCUGGAGGUGCAAGACGAUAAGGCACCUUAGCAAUAGGCGCGGCCCCCGGAACCAGAUCGAUACCAAACUCUACUUGCCUCACAGGAGGUACUCCCGGCAGCUCCUCGGGGAAAACAUCUGGAAACUCACGCACCACUGGGACCUCCUCAACUGAUCUCGGUCUCUCGGAAACCUCCCGCGUAUCCAUCACAUACGCCACAAAACCCUUACAGCCCUGCUGUAGACACUGCCUCGCCCUAGCGGCCGAACAAAAAGCUGAUCCCGAACGGGUACCCUCGCCGUACACCGAAAGAACUCCCCCACUAGGGUCUCGUAUAGUCACCAGCUGACGCUCACAGUCGAUGACGGCGCCGAAUCGGCUCAACCAGUCCAUGCCCACAAUGACACAGACAUCACCCAUCGCAAUAGGAAUCAGAUCAAUCGGAAACUCAACCCCGAAAAUCUCUAACACACAUCCCCGGAGAACCUCCGUGGCACAAAUCACUCUCUCGUCAGCUAUAGAAACUCUCAGAGGCCGACUCAACGACUCACGACUAACGCUGAUAUGCUGACUAAAAGCCAAAGAUACAAAGGACCGACUCGCACCCGAGUCAAAUAACACUAAAGCAGGCACAGAGUUCACAAGGAAAGUACCUACGCAUAUCAUAACAUAAGCAUAACAUCUCAACAUCAAAAUAAAUACAUGAAAUAAAGCAUACCUGCCACAACAUCGGGCGCAGCGCGGACCUCCUCCGCAGUCAGCUGAAAGGCUCUCCCACGAGCCCUCGGGGCCUCGGCCUUCACCGGUCGAGUCUCAGUAGCCCUGGCAGUAGGUGCAGAUCCCUGAAGAAGCUGAGGGCACUCGGCCUUCCGAUGGCCUGUCUGGUUGCAAUGAAAGCAAACCAUAAACCCCUUGGGGCAAUCCCUAGCGAUGUGCCCCUCCUUGCCACACUUGUAGCAAGCACCAGAUCGACAUGUCCCCUCAUGACCCUUGCCGCACUUUCCGCAAGUGCGGCCCUUCGGACCUCCCGUCCUCGAAUCGACGGACUUAGUCCGCUUGGCUGCCGGCUGAGACUGAGCCGGCCGCCGGUCCACCCGCUGAGACUCGGCCUCCUCCCUGGCCUGGGUCUCCAACUCAAUCUCGCGCUUCCUGGCAUUCGCCUGAAGCUCAGCAAAGGUAUGAUAGGUGGAGUUUGACACAAACUCCCGGAUAUCCCUCCUCAAAACACCCAAGUACCGGCUCAUCCGAGCCUGCUCUGUGGACACCAGCUCGGGGCAGAACAUCGCCCUCUCAUGAAACUUCCGCGUGAUCACCGCAACCGAAUCAGUACCCUGCUUGAGGGUCAAGAACUCCUGAACCAAUCGUUCCCUCUCCACCGGGGGAACGUACUCGUCUCUAAACAUAGAGGUAAACCCCUCCCAUGUCAUUGCUGAAACCUCUGCCACAGUGAAGUUCGCCGUCACGAACUUCCACCAAUCCUUCGCUCCCAGACAGAGCUGGUUCAAAGCGAACCGUACCCUUAGAUGCUCCAGACAUGAACAAGUGUAGAAGCACCCCUCAAUAUCAGCGAUCCACCUCAUCGCAGCAAUCGGAUCCUGCGUCCCAUCAAACUCAGGUGGCUUCGUGUUGCUGAACUCCUGAAACAGCAACGAGUCACCCCCCUGUGGCCUGGCAGCGGCCACAGCUGCGGUAGCUGCAGCGGCUGCAGCCUCAGUCAAUGCGGCGUACCGCUCAUCAAAAGUCUCCAUCAAGGUGGUCUUAAUAGACCCAAACAUCUCCGGAAUCUCAGCCCGGAUCGCUGCAGCCACCUCCUCAUGAAUCAUCUGACGAAUCUCCUCGUCACUCACACCGCUCGAACUCGAUCCGUGGCGUGGUCUAACCAUGAUGUCUCUGAAAUACAACAUAAAACUAUCAGAGACUCCAUCGAGUAUAAUCGCACUCGAUAACGCAACCCUACUCAGUCUCCGAUAUCCAGGGAUUCUUACUUGGGUCUCCCACUGACCCGGUGUCUUCGGUAGUACGGGCCCAAUACUACCGACCACACCGCAUCAACAUUCAUCCCAAAUCUUCCUCCCCAAACCCCGGAUAAUGAGUACUCUACUUUUGAUAUGCAUUAUCUAUCUGUACGAUAUCAAAGCAUCUCAUAUCAGCAAACUUCCCUAGACUAAGGCAUCACAAAUCAGGCCACUCUAGUCCUAUCAUGGAUACCUAGUCUUCUAGCAUGCAUAACAGUUCACAUCAUAUCUUAUCUCUUAACAUAACAUUGUAAGGUAUUUUGGGGAUCUUUACCGUUCGGGCGCUGACUGAUCGUACACACUGCUUCUUUCUUGUUUACCACAAAAUCAUUUACAAAAGUUUAUGCCUUUAUUUUAAAAGUUUUCCUCAAAUCCUCGGUUUGAGUUCAGUUACGCCCGAAGGUGCACCCGAAUCCCUCAAACCAAGGCUCUGAUACCAAUUUGUAACAACGUAAAUUUUCAAACAAAUUUUUCAUUUCAAAAUAAAGUAUUUUCAUUCAAAUAAGGCAUAAACAUUCCAAGUGUCAUGUCAAAAUACAAAUCAUAUAAAUCCCAAGAUCACAAAACAUCUAUCAGUGUGUACAGAUCACGCCGGUGCCUUCCCACGGUCCCCGCUAGUACCUGAAACACAAACAUAACAACUGUAAGCAUAAAUGCUUAGUGAGUUCCCCAAAAUACAACUUACGCACAUACGCCUUUCCAGGCCCUAACCUUCCGGUCCCUGUGUCUCAGGGGACUUCCGUCCCUGCUGGGUAAACCUUCCGGUCCUACCCACGCCAACCUUACGGUCCACAUUACACGCCUUCCGGCCCAUAACAUAAUGCCUUCCGGCCCACAUAAACAUACAUAGCACGCAUAACAAUUAACUUAUCACAUAUAGCACAUAUAUCACAUAUCAUAUCCGACCUUCCGGUCACACAGUCAAACCCUUCCGGGUACGGUAUAGUGAGAAGACUCACCUCGUGAAUAUUGAAGGCUAGCAAAUCCCGAAGUCACUCGUGCUCGAUCCGCCGAGCUACAAUCUCCCUAUAACAUCAUACAUCUCUUAUUAACACUUUUAUCUUCUAAGCUUGACUAUCCCUAAAAAGUCAACCACAGGUCAACCCUGGUCAACGGUCAACGGUCAACUUGACCGGACCCGGCGAGUGCUAGGGCGACUCGGCGAGUCUAGACGUCCUCACCA
rnacentral:lncRNA from 1 species